ensembl:lncRNA
GUCCCACAGUAUCACAGAGAGGUCAGACAGGUGGAGUAGUCCCACAGUAUCACAGAGAGGUCAGACAGGUGGAGUAGUCCCACAGUAUCACAGAGAUCAGACAGGUGGAGUAGUCCCACAGUAUCACAGAGAGGUCAGACAGGUGGAGUAGUCCUACAGUAUUACAGAGAGGUCAGACAGGUGGAGUAGUCCUACAGUAUUACAGAGAGAUCAGACAGGUAGAGUAGUCCUACAGUAUCACAGUGAGGUCAGACAGGUAGAGUAGUCCUACAGUAUUACAGAGAGGUCAGACAGGUGGAGUAGUCCUACAGUAUCACAGAGAGGUCAGACAGGUGGAGUAGCCCCACAGUAUCACAGACUGGCCCUGAUAACUAGCUAACUAACCUACUAUCUACUAGUCUACUGCCCCUGAUAACUAGCUAACUAACCGACUAUCUACUAGUCUA